rnacentral:rRNA from 1 species
AACAGGAUUAGAUACCCUGGUAGUCCACGCCGUAAACGAUGUCGACUUGGAGGUUGUGCCCUUGAGGCGUGGCUUCCGGAGCUAACGCGUUAAGUCGACCGCCUGGGGAGUACGGCCGCAAGGUUAAAACUCAAAUGAAUUGACGGGGGCCCGCACAAGCGGUGGAGCAUGUGGUUUAAUUCGAUGCAACGCGAAGAACCUUACCUACUCUUGACAUCCAGAGAACUUAGCAGAGAUGCUUUGGUGCCUUCGGGAACUCUGAGACAGGUGCUGCAUGGCUGUCGUCAGCUCGUGUUGUGAAAUGUUGGGUUAAGUCCCGCAACGAGCGCAACCCUUAUCCUUUGUUGCCAGCGAUUCGGUCGGGAACUCAAAGGAGACUGCCAGUGAUAAACUGGAGGAAGGUGGGGAUGACGUCAAGUCAUCAUGGCCCUUACGAGUAGGGCUACACACGUGCUACAAUGGCAUAUACAAAGAGAAGCGACCUCGCGAGAGCAAGCGGACCUCAUAAAGUAUGUCGUAGUCCGGAUUGGAGUCUGCAACUCGACUCCAUGAAGUCGGAAUCGCUAGUAAUCGUGGAUCAGAAUGCCACGGUGAAUACGUUCCCGGGCCUUGUACACACCGCCCGUCACACCAUGGGAGUGGGUUGCAAAAGAAGUAGGUAGCUUAACCUUCGGGAGGGCGCUUACCACUUUGUGAUUCAUGACUGGGGUGAAGUCGUAACAAGGUAACC